rnacentral:rRNA from 1 species
AGGGGAAACGAUAUUGGAAGCUUGCUUCCGAUAGGCGUCGACCGGCGCACGGGUGAGUAACGCGUAUCCAACCUGCCCACCACUUGGGGAUAACCUUGCGAAAGUAAGACUAAUACCCAAUGACGUCUCUAGAAGACAUCUGAAAGGGAUUAAAGAUUUAUCGGUGAUGGAUGGGGAUGCGUCUGAUUAGCUAGUUGGUGGGGUAACGGCCUACCAAGGCGACGAUCAGUAGCCGACCUGAGAGGGUGACCGGCCACAUUGGGACUGAGACACGGCCCAGACUCC